GAGGAAGUGGAGAGAGGGAGGGAUGGAAGUCCAGGCAUUUCAAAACAAAUAAAUGGCUGUUGUGGAGUCCCGUGAUGGUGGGAAAUGAGGACCCAGGUUAGGAUUGGAAAGGUGACUGGACUUUGAAGGAGAAAGCCCAUGUUUGGACAAGAAUAUUUUUCAUAAUUAGGAUAUGUGACAAAGAAAAUUAGGAAAUGGAAGAAUAUGCUUAUAGGCACUCUGGGAUGGAACCUAGGAGUCAGCAUGUGAGAUCUAUAUGUCUAUG